ensembl:lncRNA
ACUUCCUGUGUGGGAUUCUAGAUGAUGUGUUGAGACAGUUUCACUUUCAUCAUGAAUAUCUUAUACACUUUCUUCUAAAUGUACAUUUUUAAUGAAAUGCUUGCAUGAUAGCUGCCAACGAUUUCAAGGUAUGGCCACAGUGAUCAGUAAAUAUGUAAGUGUAUUGUUCAUUUGGCUGGAAUCCACUACACACAUAUUUUUUUUUUAUAAAUAUAUAUAAAAGGGAACUUGAGAGCUGUUUGCAUAAUUGGGGACAUUUCCGCAAAUGUUUCCCCCCCUCCUCUACCCUCAAAGUCUCUCACAGUCCCUUAAUAUCUCACAAGGAUUCCACAUGCAUGCCUGAUAUGAUGAUGGCCUCAAAUGACACAUCGAACAAUUCUACAAAUCUUUAUCCCAAUGGAUCCCAGUCGAGUGGCCUUGCUGUGGGAUUGCCAUUGUUUUUUGUGGUAUCGGCAGUCGUCAUAGGAAGCAUGGCUUAUUUCUACUUUCGGCAAAGGAAAUCGAAACGUGAAACCCUGGAGGGUCGACACUCUAAACCUGCGGGAUCCCAGAACCCUGGAUUGAUUGGAAGCUCUCGUCAGAUCUCAGAAAGCCCAGUAUAUGAAAACUUUAGUAAGAGGCCUUCAGAUAUCAUUGCAACAGAUCAACACAGCAACAUGGACUUGGCUUCACACAGCAGCCCUGCUGAACCUUGUGACCUUUACGUGCAGUGUGAUCCAGAACAUGACGCAAUCUAUAGCAACGAUCCCUCCUUCAGUUACUGCGGUCAGCCAGACAACACAGAGGAAGAUGUUUACAUUGUGCCACAUGGUUGAAAAAUGGCUAUUCAAGGGUUAUUUUUCAGAGAGAUAUCAAAAUGUUUUCUUCCCUCCUAUUCCUUUUACUCUCAUUCUUUUUUCUCAAUCCUGUGUUUCCUUUCCUCCUUGAGUGGUAGUUCUGAAAGCAAGAGAGAAAUCUUUUUUGUACCACAAUAUAUUUUCAUAUAGGUGAAGGAAUGUAUUUUUUUUUUAUUAUUUGGGUCUGUUAAAAAUAGCUGAAGAGAUGAAUUUCACUUCUUCUUUCCUGAAGGAGGUGAAACCAUGUUCUUUGGCAUCCUUAUGAAACUUAACAGAGACAGCUCAUAAUACCACUGCAGCUUCUUUUCAGAGGCUGAACUCAUCCAAAAUCUCCACAAAAUGUAAAACAAGUGACAAUCUAUUCACAACUAUCAAAAUGUGCUGUGGGUAAAAAAACAUUUUACCCUUUUUCCAAAGCCAUCUUUUGUACCUGAUAACUCGUUCAUGUUGGCUCUCUCCCACUUAAACCUAUUUAAAACAGAUUAAUAUUGCUUGAUGAUUUGACCUUAACAUCCAAUUGUAUACUUUGGGUGGUAACGGGGCCUUUCAAAGCUGAAGAUUAAGGGCAUUUCCAUCGUCACUACGAUCUGGUGACACAGAGGAUGUACAUUUGUGUAUACCCAAGUGAGGUUAGGGAGGUGCCGGACAUAACUGUACUUUCAUGAGGAUGGCUGAAUUUCUUAUUUGUAUGUGCCAACAUAUUGAUUGAUUGUUUCCUGGACUCUGCAAAUUUGUCACACCCUUUGUCGUAUCUGCCAAGAGUUAUGAUAUGUUUUUGAGUGUUCAGUUUUGUCUGUGAACUUUAUUCUUGCCCACAGGUGAAGAUCCUGCUAGUCACUAGAUACCAUUCCAGCUUUAUAGGGUUUGUGUCAUGCCUGCCUUUUAUAGCAAUAACAUAGUUCACUAUAGUGCCUGUUAAGAAUACUAGGAACUAUGAAUUCAAAGUUGGCAUUCUAGGACAUUGAAAUUGUUAGUUAGUUGAGUGCCCUGCAGGCCGUUCAUCUUCUAGUCAAGGCCAGAGUAUUAAUUGUUUCAAGGCUGCUGUAUUGAGACAGAGACUCUCAUAUCUAUUGUAUCUUUAGGUAGUGCGUGGCGGUACACCCUGACCUUGAAAUACCUUAUCAGAGUAUAUGGUUUAUUGCUCAAAAGGGAAAAAACUGACCCAACCUGACAUUUUUGGGAGGUCUGUAAAGUUAUGAAAUGACUACAAUAUGCAUUAAAUGUGUCAAGGUUGAAUCUCUAAGAUUUUUAAGGAACCGAACCGAAAUUUGAAUUCUGUUGUGAAUUUGAGCCAAGUUCUUUAUUGUAAUUGUAGUUAAUUCAUCCACAUGUUUCAUUUCAGUAUGUCCUCUUUGAAAUAUGAUAUCGUAAUUUAUGGCAAUUUGCAGUCCAGGACUGUGAAAUAUAUAUUUGACUAAGUUCUGUCAUGUCCCACGAGGGUAACUAAAGAAAAAUGUGUGCAGCGUUGUUAGUUGUCAUUUGAAAAGGCCUUUACAUUUAUGUCAUUAAGCACAUGUUAAUACGCAUGUAAGACAAGAACAUAUUGCAAAAUGUUAUUUUUUAUUAAAGCAGACUAUAUACAAUGUCAUUUUAAUAUACACAUUAUAAUUUUGAAAUGACAAGGGACAAACAAUACCUUAGUUACCCUAAAGUUUGUAAAUAUAAAUUAUAUGUUCUUUUGUAACAGAGUUAACACAGCAAAUAUUACAGGAAAUAGGUUAAUGCAAUAAAUUAACAAUAAAUAAUUCA